GACGAACGCUGGCGGCGUGCUUAACACAUGCGAGUCGAACGGAAAGGCCCUGCUUUUGUGGGGUGCUCGAGUGGCGAACGGGUGAGUAACACGUGAGUAACCUGCCCUGUACUUUGGGAUAACUUCAGGAAACUGGGGCUAAUACCGGAUAGGAGCUCCUGCUGCAUGGUGGGGGUUGGAAAGUUUCGGCGGUUGGGGAUGGACUCGCGGCUUAUCAGCUUGUUGGUGGGGUAGUGGCUUACCAAGGCGUUGACGGGUAGCCGGCCUGGGAGGGUGACCGGCCACAUUGGGACUGAGAUACGGCCCAGACUCCUACGGGAGGCAGCAGUGGGGAAUAUUGCACAAUGGGCGGAAGCCUGAUGCAGCAACGCCGCGUGCGGGAUGACGGCCUUCGGGUUGUAAACCGCUUUCGCCUGUGACGAAGCGUGAGUGACGGUAAUGGGUAAAGAAGCACCGGCUAACUACGUG
rnacentral:rRNA from 1 species